GAUGAACGCUGGCGGCGCGCCUAACACAUGCAAGUCGAACGGCACCCCUCUCCGGAGGGAAGCGAGUGGCGAACGGCUGAGUAACACGUGGAGAACCUGCCCCCUCCCCCGGGAUAGCCGCCCGAAAGGACGGGUAAUACCGGAUACCCCGGGGUGCCGCAUGGCACCCCGGCUAAAGCCCCGACGGGAGGGGAUGGCUCCGCGGCCCAUCAGGUAGACGGCGGGGUGACGGCCCACCGUGCCGACAACGGGUAGCCGGGUUGAGAGACCGACCGGCCAGAUUGGGACUGAGACACGGCCCAGACUCCUACGGGAGGCAGCAGUGGGGAAUCUUGCGCAAUGGGGGGAACCCUGACGCAGCGACGCCGCGUGCGGGACGGAGGCCUUCGGGUCGUAAACCGCCUUCAGCAGGGAAGAGUCAAGACUGUACCUGCAGAAGAAGCCCCGGCUAACUACGUGCCAGCAGCCGCGGUAAUACGUAGGGGGCGAGCGUUAUCCGGGAUUCAUUGGGCGUAAAGCGCGCCGUAGGCGGCCCGGCAGGCCGGGGGUCGAAGCGGGGGGCUCAACCCCCCGAAGCCCCCGGAACCUCCGCGGCUUGGGUCCGGUAGGGGAGGGUGGAACACCCGGUGUAGCGGUGGAAUGCGCAGAUAUCGGGUGGAACACCGGUGGCGAAGGCGGCCCUCUGGGCCGAGACCGACGCUGAGGCGCGAAAGCUGGGGGAGCGAACAGGAUUAGAUACCCUGGUAGUCCCAGCCGUAAACGAUGGACGCUAGGUGUGGGGGGACGAUCCCCCCGUGCCGCAGCCAACGCAUUAAGCGUCCCGCCUGGGGAGUACGGCCGCAAGGCUAAAACUCAAAGGAAUUGACGGGGGCCCGCACAAGCAGCGGAGCAUGUGGCUUAAUUCGAAGCAACGCGAAGAACCUUACCAGGGCUUGACAUAUGGGUGAAGCGGGGGAGACCCCGUGGCCGAGAGGAGCCCAUACAGGUGGUGCAUGGCUGUCGUCAGCUCGUGUCGUGAGAUGUUGGGUUAAGUCCCGCAACGAGCGCAACCCCCGCCGCGUGUUGCCAUCGGGUGAUGCCGGGAACCCACGCGGGACCGCCGUCGUCAAGGCGGAGGAGGGCGGGGACGACGUCAAGUCAUCAUGCCCCUUAUGCCCUGGGCUGCACACGUGCUACAAUGGCCGGUACAGAGGGAUGCCACCCCGCGAGGGGGAGCGGAUCCCGGAAAGCCGGCCCCAGUUCGGAUUGGGGGCUGCAACCCGCCCCCAUGAAGUCGGAGUUGCUAGUAAUCGCGGAUCAGCAUGCCGCGGUGAAUGCGUUCCCGGGCCU
rnacentral:rRNA from 1 species